rnacentral:other from 1 species
AGCCCACUGGGACGUUGGUGACUACCAAUAAUGUUUUCUGAUCUAUGUUGCUUUUUACGUGGGAACCCAUAGCGCUUUGGUUGCAGUAGACUGGGCUUGUACUCAGAAACUUAUACACCACCCGUUCGGUUCCCCCCCUGGUUUAACCAGGUCAAAAGCUGAGGUAAGACGGCGUCCUGGUGAGCCC